CGAUCCCGAAGGGGAUCAUUCCAUAUUAUCGCUUCGAGUAUAGUUAAGGUAUCAAAGGGUGUAGAAGAGACAGAAAUUCUAAAAGAGAAAGUGUGAGAGAUAUAAAAAAGAGAGGAUUUAUAAAGGGCUCAUGAAAAAAGUACCAACGAAUCUCGUAUAAUCUCAACCAUUGGAUAUGUUGAUGAGGAAAUGAUCAGUUUGUAUCAAUCGUUCUAUUGAAAAUUAUAAGGGUUUGAAUUAAAAGGAGUCCCAAAGUAAAAACAUUGCACAUUAGUAAAAUUAUUGGGAAAUCAAGAUUGUUUAUAGAUGUCAUAGCAUGGUGGGUGUAAUUUAUGCGUAAAAGUAAAAAUUUUAUAGAAAUCAAGUUUUUUAGUUAUUUUAGGAAGUUAUAAUUUUGGGUAAUUUAUAUGCUGUAUUAGAAAUUAUUAGGGCAUACAAACUAAUAAUAGAUAAUUUUGUUAUAGGUUAUG
rnacentral:lncRNA from 1 species